UACAGAGGGGGCAAGCGUUGUUCGGAAUUACUGGGCGUAAAGGGCGCGUAGGCGCCUUCUAAGUCAGGCGUGAAAUUCCCGGGCUCAACCUGGGGGCUGCGCUUGAUACUGAUUGGCUUGAAUGCGGGAGAGGAUAGUGGAAUUCCCAGUGUAGAGGUGAAAUUCGUAGAUAUCGAGAGGAACACCGGUGGCGAAGGCGGCCAACUGGACAGAUACUGACGCUGAGACUCGAAAGCGUGGGGAGCAAACAGG
rnacentral:rRNA from 1 species